GAAAUUCAUAUUUCCAGGCCUAUUUCAGACAUAUUGAAUAAAAAAUUUGGGGGGUGGGCCCAGCAAUCUGUGUUUUAACAAGCCCUUCAAAUUAUUCUGGUGCACACUAAAAUUUAAAAACCAUGUUUUCUGAGGCUUGAGUUAUCAACCCUAACUUCAUAUUGAAAUAAUCUGGGGAGCUUUUUGCAAACACCAAUACCUGCGCCCAACCUCAGGCAAACUAAAUCAGAGUUUGAACAAAUACAUUGGCAGGUGAUUCUAAUGUGUCUUGAAUUGUAGCUCCCAUAAUUCCCACGUGUCAUGGGAGGGACCCAGUGGGAGGUAAUUGAAUCAUGGGGGUGGGUCUUUUCCAUGCUCUUCUCGUGGUAGUCAAUAAGUCUAAUGAGAUCUGAUGGUUUUAUAAAGAGUUCCUCCCUACACAAGCUCUCUCUUGCCUGCCACUACAUGACUCUGCUCCUUAUUCGCCUUCAGCCGUGAUUAUGAGGCCUCCCCAGCCAUGUGGACCUGGCUACGUCUCUCAGCCCCAUGGAAGUAUGUCACCAGUAGAGACAUCCUGGCCACUUUCGCUAGUUUCCUGGAAUUAUGAGCCUAGAAGAAAGCUAAGUGUCGAAAGACCGUAUGACUUCUUCAAGAGAACGUUCGAGCAGAACAACAAUAAUGGAACUGGCUGGAUAUCUAAGACUGAAGCUUACAGAAGGAAGAUCUAGAAAUUCGCAAGCAAGAAACUAAAAAAGCUUCUAUGUUCUGAAAGAAUGUUUUAUUUCUUGUAGCUGCAGAGCUAAGAUUUCUGAGAGCCAAAUCUAAAAUUGGAUCCUAUGGGUGACUGAAUAACAAUGAAAGCUGAACUCACAGUGAGCCUCAUCAAGCCUCUUUCGUAAAAGUUAAAGUGUUGCCUGGAAAAGAAUGGGGACAUGAAAAUUGGAACAGGGCACUUGGGGAGAUUCUAAAGGGAAGGACAGGCCAUUAUUCUUGAGUGGCAGUUGCAGGCAGAUGCUGACCAGAUGGUGGGUACGAGGCACACAGCAGUGUCUGUGUCUGGCAAGGUCUUGAGGACAACCCACUUCAGUGCUGCUGGCUGAGAUUGUAGGUACUGGGCUUCUUGACCUGCUCUUUCCCUAGCCCAUUUGAUAGCGAUGAAACCUUUAAUCCCCGUAUUGAAAUACAAAGAACAACUUCCAUUUGCCUGAAUGAACACUGACUGAUACAUGACCAAGCAUCAGUUACCCAAACAAUUAGGAAACUUGUUAAUAUGAGACGCUCACUUCUGAACAAUGUUAAGCAAAAGGAUCAUAUAGACAUGAAAAGUAAGUGAUGCUCCUAAACCAAGUAGGAGUGAGUGGAUAUGAGCGAGUGCUUCCAGCCAUGUGCACUAUAAAUCACAUAAUAGGAUUCAUUCCUAUAUGUUUAGUGGACAGAUACUGAGGAAAGAAAUUCUGUCUGAAUUACGAACUUUUGGGUUUUCUUGUAGACCAAGUUCUUGUCCUAAUGCCUGGCACACCUGAACGCUCAAUAAAUGUUUAUUUAGCAUUUGGAUUUGCCUGGGCAGGAUGAAUCCCUCCCUGUCCAGUUACUAUUAACAACUUAAUAGUCACUAGUUAAUAUUAUCAACAAUAAUCAACAAUGUAUCAUUAUCACACUAAAAGUCUCAAAGUCUACCUGUCUCACAAAGAGCUUCAGGCUGGGUCACAAAUGUGUUUAUCACUUCACCUGGUGACAUAUUUCCUCAUCUAGUAGAUAAUAUCUAGGAAGAUAUUUGCUGCUAUUAAAGUUCAAGAAAGAAUACAGGCCGGGUAUGGUGGCUCACACCUGUAUCUUGUGCAGUGUAAAGCAGUUCAACUUCCACUUCCUAUGUGCAAGUGUGCACAUUUCUAAACGAGAAUUUUAAAACUUAGAUACAUUCAGUUACAACUUGUUUACCAAAAUGUAUGUGAAGGUAUUUUGGAACAAGAACAUCCUCUUUCUACUGUCAAGAUUAUUUUUGUUUUAAACAUGAUAUAUUGUGAUUUCAAACUAAGUAGAUGUAUCAGG
rnacentral:lncRNA from 1 species